UCUUGUUGCCGCUUGAAUUGAAGUUUUAUAAACCUGUUAGUGUUAGAAUACAUAAUGAUCAUUUUAUUUAAAAAAACGUAGUGAUCGAUUCAGGACAAUGCCAAAAUGGUUUCAUUAUUCUGGUGAUGGUUUUUGCAAUUAUUUUUUCUUUUGGUAACAUAAUAUUGGUGUUCUGUCUAGUGGAAAGCAUUGAACUUUAAUUUGACGAACGUAUAGGCGCUUAGUUAUGCUCUUUUCUCUUUUGGCAAGCAAUUAUGACACCAUCAUACCAAGCGCAAGGUGAUAGGUACAUAGUUUAACUUUCUUUAGCAUGCAUUUUAGUAUUUCUGAAAUUUUGUUUCAGAUUGAUAAAUUAAUUGCAAUCUAUAUCCUACAAAUAUUAUGGCCUUGCAGUCUGACAGCUUUUACCAGGUAUUUUUUUUUGGCCUUUGAAGUCUUCAGUAUUAGGUUGUCUCCAAAAUCAUUUGUGCUUAACAGAUCAUGUAGUGUUUACUAUUUUUCUUGAUUUAAGCACUGAUUUCCGUACAUGUAAAUGCUCCUACAAUUUCUUUGUAGAACCUCUGAACUUUUUACAUUGUCUAUACAGUUGCUCAAGCCAUAGAGUUCCAGAACAAGGCUUAUGAAUGGAGCUGCUUCCACUGGCCUUCAAGUUGCUUGAUUAGCUUGAGAAUUGGAAACAGUCUACAUGUUCAAUGCAUUAUUUAGCUUGAAAUAAAAGCUUUACAUAUGUAUCAUCAAUGACAUUCUUCGUGUGCAUAUCAUCCUUUUCUGAAGGAAAGAUAUUAAAAAUUGAUUUUAUCUUUUGCCUAUUCAUCUAUUUAAAAUCUUGUAUUGGGUGUUUUGUUUUAUCUGCAUUUAUGCUACUAUAGCAAUUCUCCCUUCGACACCCCCACCUUUAAAAAAGACUAAAAUUUUAAACAUCCUAAAGGAACACUUGUCUUGUUGCAGACAUGACUAUGACACACUGCUUUAACUGGAUGAAAAUAACCAUCAGCACACUGGUGCUUCAGAAAAGCCAGAUCAAUAAUUUGCCGCAUUCAGUAGUUCAGUCCAAUAGCAUUGAAGAUCCAUGUUCUGUCUGCCUUGAAAAUCCUUCUGUGGGAGAUACUAUCUGCCAUUUGCCAUUUGAAAGAUCAGAAUUGUGCCUAAAAUCAGACCAUCCAUGUUUGCACUGCUUCCGGGCCCCUUUGUGUACCUUGCCAUGCAACCAUCAUUCUGCAAAUAACUCAUUCUCGGAUGGAUGGUAUUAUAUUUAAUACUCAUUAGUUAAUUCAUGUCCCUAACUGAUGCCAUUCUUAGUAAA